rnacentral:rRNA from 1 species
UACCUACGGGGGGCAGCAGUGGGGAAUAUUGCACAAUGGGGGAAACCCUGAUGCAGCGACGCCGCGUGAAGGAAGAAGUAUUUCGGUAUGUAAACUUCUAUCAGCAGGGAAGAAAAUGACGGUACCUGACUAAGAAUCCCCGGCUAACUACGUGCCAGCAGCCGCGGUAAUACGUAGGGGGCAAGCGUUAUCCGGAUUUACUGGGUGUAAAGGGAGCGUAGGCGGUUUAGCAAGUCAGAAGUGAAAUCCCGGGGCUCACC